GAUGAAGAACGUAGCGAAAUGCGAUAAGUAAUGUGAAUUGCAGAAUUCAGUGAAUCAUCGAAUCUUUGAACGCACAUUGCGCCCCCUGGUAUUCCGGGGGGCAUGCCUGUUCGAGCGUCAUUUCAACCCUCAGGCCCCCGGGCCUGGCGUUGGGGAUCGGCGGAGCCCCCCGUGGGCACACGCCGUCCCCCAAAUGCAGUGGCGGUCCCGCCGCAGCUUCCAUCGCGUAGUAGCUAACACCUCGCGACUGGAGAGCGGCGCGGCCACGCCGUAAAACACCCAACUCUUCUGAAGUUGACCUCGAAUCAGGUAGGAAUACCCGCUGAACUUAAGCAUAUCAAUAAGCGGAGGA
rnacentral:misc_RNA from 1 species